rnacentral:misc_RNA from 1 species
UGAGUGGUUUUGGACCCGUGUCUGUCGGUAGAUCCCCCGACUUUUUGUGCGGCCGACUACCGACGCCGUGUCCAGUCGUUCCUGUGGCUUUGUGUUACCGUUGCCUUUCAAGUGCUUGCGUGCUGGUACCCGAACUAAGGGAAUUGGUGCUACGUACAUGUUGCCUCGCGGUGGACGCCUUCGGGUGUGCUGCUGCGGCCAAAUGGCGCUUGCGGCGUUGCCUCGUUACGCUGCCACGUUUACGUGGUUGUUGUUAUCAAGGCAACCUCGCUCCCGCUGUUGGUCUCGGAUGUUGCCCACGAUGAAGUCUCAUGGCCCUUUUUGGUUGCCUAGACCCGACCCUAAGAAGCUCUCCGAAUUGAGAACAACCGGAACAGGUGUUGCCUCUACGUAUUCCGCAGUUAGUGGUAUGAUACGCAACAUUUUGCGCCGAUCCUCAAAAAAGUCGGACGAGCUUGGCCCGCUCAAUUGUGACAACCGGCGCGGGGACUGCUUCUGGCUUGACACGCAAGUGGACGGACGGACGACUCCCGACGCUGGACGUCAACAAGGACGUGCU